rfam:Triticum aestivum genome assembly, contig: Triticum_aestivum_CS42_TGACv1_scaffold_223186_3B
CACAUACUCCCUCCGUCCCAAAAUUCUUGUCUUAAAUUUAUCUAAAUACAGAUGUAUCAAGUCAUGUUUUAGUAUUCGAUACAUCCGUAUCUAGACAAAUUUAAGACAAGAAUUUUGGGACGGAGGGAAUACAUC